rnacentral:misc_RNA from 1 species
AAAGUCGUAACAAGGUUUCCGUAGGUGAACCUGCGGAAGGAUCAUUAAAAGUAAUAUGUAUUCUCUCGAAUAUACAUUAUAAACCCAUCUGUGUAUCUUACCCGUUGCUUCCGCGAGGCAGUGAUCUCGGUCACCUCCGAACGAUGGCGAAAGCCGUCAGACGGGGAGCCCCCGCGGGAGGUAUACAUCAAACCCUUGCAUCUUUAUGUCAUCUGUCUGAACUGUUUAUAACAAAUGUUAAAACUUUCAACAACGGAUCUCUUGGUUCUC